CUGCCACAACGGCUUCCUGACGUGGCGGAAUUUUGAAAAUGGAGCA
rnacentral:ncRNA from 1 species